rnacentral:rRNA from 1 species
UACGGAGGGUGCAAGCGUUAUCCGGAUUCACUGGGUUUAAAGGGCGCGUAGGCGGCCACCGCAAGUCGACUGUGAAAUCUCCGGGCUUAACCCGGAAAGGUCAGCCGAUACUGCGGGGCUAGAGUGCAGAAGGGGCAACUGGAAUUCUCGGUGUAGCGGUGAAAUGCGUAGAUAUCGAGAGGAACACCAAUGGCGAAGGCAGCUCGCUGGGACGGUACUGACGCUGAGGCGCGAAAGCGUGGGGAGCAAACAGG